CCGCCCGUCAAACCACGAAAGUUGGUAAUGCCCAACGCCGGUGGCCUAACUCGCAAGAGAGGGAGCCGUCUAAGGCAGGAUCGAUGAUUGGGGUUAAGUCGUAACAAGGUAUCCCUACGGGAACGUGGGGAUGGAUCACCUCCUUUCUAAGGAAAACAAGGCUUAAGAAGCCGAGAUCGCAUCUCGUAAAGAGAUGAUACAAACCAAUUCGUAAUGAAAUCAUCAUAUUCAGUUUUGAAAGACUUAAGAGUUUUUCUUGAAAUAAGUUAAGGUAUAAAAACCCUUAAAAAAGGGCCUAUAGCUCAGCUGGUUAGAGCGCACGGCUGAUAACCGUGAGGUCGAUGGUUCGAGUCCAUUUAGGCCCACCAUUUAACUUGUGCACUCAGUCAAAUGAGCGUACUUUAAUAACCUAUAAUAUAGGUUGAGAUCUUUGAAAAGUAGAUAAAUUCUGUCGUAAGGUUAAGGAAGUAAGGGCACACAGUGGAUGCCUUGGCACUAAGCGCCGAUGAAGGACGCAACUAACAGCGAAAUGCUACGGGGAGCGGUAAGUACGCGACGAUCCGUAGGAAUCCGAAUGGGGGAACCCGGCAUGUAGAAGACAUGUCACUCUAGCAAUAGAGGGGGAUACGCAGGGAACUGAAAUAUCUAAGUACCUGCAGGAAAAGAAAGUAACAACGAUUCUUCUAGUAGCGACGAGCGAACGAGGAGGAGCCUGAUUAUUCUAACAGUUACAAAAUCAAUUAAUAGACGAGCAAGUUGGGAAGCUUGACCAUAGAAGGUGAAAGUCCUGUAGUCGAAAUUAAUGGAUCUGGGAAUAACGAAAAGUAGGGCGGGACACGAGAAAUCCCGUUUGAAGAACGGAGGACCAUCUCCGAAGGCUAAAUACGACUUAGUGACCGAUAGUGAACCA
rnacentral:sRNA from 2 species